rnacentral:rRNA from 1 species
AUUGAACGCUGGCGGCAGGCCUAACACAUGCAAGUCGAGCGGAUGAAGGGAGCUUGCUCCUGGAUUCAGCGGCGGACGGGUGAGUAAUGCCUAGGAAUCUGCCUGGUAGUGGGGGAUAACGUCCGGAAACGGGCGCUAAUACCGCAUACGUCCUGAGGGAGAAAGUGGGGGAUCUUCGGACCUCACGCUAUCAGAUGAGCCUAGGUCGGAUUAGCUAGUUGGUGGGGUAAAGGCCUACCAAGGCGACGAUCCGUAACUGGUCUGAGAGGAUGAUCAGUCACACUGGAACUGGGACACGGUCCAGACUCCUACGGGAGGCAGAAGUGGGGAAUAUUGGACAAUGGGCGAAAGCCUGAUCCAGCCAUGCCGCGUGUGUGAAGAAGGUCUUCGGAUUGUAAAGCACUUUAAGUUGGGAGGAAGGGCAGUAAGUUAAUACCUUGCUGUUUUGACGUUACCAACAGAAUAAGCACCGGCUAACUUCGUG